UACGGAGGUCUCAAGCGUUGUUCGGAUUUAUUGGGCGUAAAGGGUGCGUAGGUGGUGCUGUAAGUCAGGUGUGAAAUCUCGGGGCUCAACCCCGAAACUGCACUUGAUACUGCAGGGCUCGAGGACUGGAGAGGAGAUUGGAAUUCAUGGUGUAGCAGUGAAAUGCGUAGAUAUCAUGAGGAAGACCAGUGGCGAAGGCGGAUCUCUGGACAGUUCCUGACACUGAGGCACGAAGGCCAGGGGAGCAAACGGG
rnacentral:rRNA from 1 species